GGGUUGUGAGGUUAAGCGACUAAGCGUACACGGUGGAUGCCCUGGCAGUCAGAGGCGAUGAAGGGCGUGCUAAUCUGCGAUAAGCGCCGGUAAGGUGAUAUGAACCGUUAUAACCGGCGAUACCCGAAUGGGGAAACCCAGUGUGACUCGUCACACUAUCAUUAACUGAAUCCAUAGGUUAAUGAGGCGAACCGGGGGAACUGAAACAUCUAAGUACCCCGAGGAAAAGAAAUCAACCGAGAUUCCCCCAGUAGCGGCGAGCGAACGGGGAGGAGCCCAGAGCCUGAAUCAGCAUGUGUGUUAGUGGAAGCGUCUGGAAAGGCGCGCGAUACAGGGUGACAGCCCCGUACACAAAAGCGCAUGUGCUGUGAGCUCGAUGAGUAGGGCGGGACACGUGGUAUCCUGUCUGAAUAUGGGGGGACCAUCCUCCAAGGCUAAAUACUCCUGACUGACCGAUAGUGAACCAGUACCGUGAGGGAAAGGCGAAAAGAACCCCGGCGAGGGGAGUGAAAAAGAACCUGAAACCGUGUACGUACAAGCAGUGGGAGCCCCACCACCAAAGCGUUUCGCUUUGUGUGGUGCACAAAGAAGCGUAACGACAGCACUGAAUGACGGUUAACGGAGCGCAAGCGACGUUCAACAUACAAAGUCAAGCAGUGGAGCGCUUUGGGGUGGGGUGACUGCGUACCUUUUGUAUAAUGGGUCAGCGACUUAUAUUCUGUAGCAAGGUUAACCGAAUAGGGGAGCCGGAGGGAAACCGAGUCUUAACCGGGCGUUAAGUUGCAGGGUAUAGACCCGAAACCCGGUGAUCUAGCCAUGGGCAGGUUGAAGGUUGGGUAACACUAACUGGAGGACCGAACCGACUAAUGUUGAAAAAUUAGCGGAUGACCUGUGGCUGGGGGUGAAAGGCCAAUCAAACCGGGAGAUAGCUGGUUCUCCCCGAAAGCUAUUUAGGUAGCGCCUCGUGAAUUCAUCUCCGGGGGUAGAGCACUGUUUCGGCUAGGGGGCCAUCCCGGCUUACCAACCCGAUGCAAACUGCGAAUACCGGAGAAUGUUAUCACGGGAGACACACGGCGGGUGCUAACGUCCGUCGUGAAGAGGGAAACAACCCAGACCGCCAGCUAAGGUCCCAAAGUCAUGGUUAAGUGGGAAACGAUGUGGGAAGGCCCAGACAGCCAGGAUGUUGGCUUAGAAGCAGCCAUCAUUUAAAGAAAGCGUAAUAGCUCACUGGUCGAGUCGGCCUGCGCGGAAGAUGUAACGGGGCUAAACCAUGCACCGAAGCUGCGGCAGCGACGCUUAUGCGUUGUUGGGUAGGGGAGCGUUCUGUAAGCCUGUGAAGGUGGCCUGUGAGGGUUGCUGGAGGUAUCAGAAGUGCGAAUGCUGACAUAAGUAACGAUAAAGCGGGUGAAAAGCCCGCUCGCCGGAAGACCAAGGGUUCCUGUCCAACGUUAAUCGGGGCAGGGUGAGUCGACCCCUAAGGCGAGGCCGAAAGGCGUAGUCGAUGGGAAACGGGUUAAUAUUCCCGUACUUGGUGUUACUGCGAAGGGGGGACGGAGAAGGCUAUGUUGGCCGGGCGACGGUUGUCCCGGUUUAAGCGUGUAGGUGUGUGUUCCAGGUAAAUCCGGUU
rnacentral:rRNA from 1 species